UUAAUUGAAACCAAAAAGAGGUAAAUCACUGUUAAUKAUAUAAUUGAAUUUUAUAUUCCAAUUAAA
rnacentral:tRNA from 1 species